GGGGUUGUCUCUGGAGAGCAAGCGCUCCCCCUGGCUCUGCGCAAACAGGAAAUUCAAUUAUUGACCAUGUGCGCGCUUAAACGAGACCGAUGCAUCACUGACAGUUGGAGGAAAUGAAUGCAGUCUGUCCGGAACCGUUUUUAUUCACUUCAGCAGAACGGCCACCAAACGCUUUGCUCACCCUGUCGAUUCAAAAUGAAACAUCAAAGCGUACAAGAGGCCGAAAGGACACAUUUUAUCGGUGAGCCGCGACGCGUCGGGAGUCGAGGCGCCCUCCGCUUUUCGGAUUGAGCCGUUAAAGCGACUGUCAUCGCGUCUGCCUUUGGGUUUGCGUCUCGCCCCGGAGCCAAAUUCCUCCACGCUUGGCAACGCUUCAAUCUCGCGCGCCGUUUUUUGGGUCACGUGACGCGUGUGAUGCCGCGCGUCGGUCGAGAUGCUAUAGCGUGGAUCCGAGCCGCAGAAGGUACGUUGUUCUGACAAUUGUGAUAUGAUCUCAGCGUAAUUAUUACUAAACGUACUUUUGGAAAUAUUUGGAGAGCCGUGUUUUCUUUUUAAGUUCUACUUCCUUGUACAUUUUCAUAUCAAGCAGUUCCAUACAAUUGCAUUUUGCGACUUUAUAAUAUUAAAGUGAUCCGCCGUUACCUUGAUUCUGUUCUGUUUUGAAUAAAAAUAUGACACAAAGCUUAUUUUGUUUUUGUCUUUUGUUGUUUUUUUUUACUCCUCUGAUGUAGCACAAUUUUCAUCUUCAAAAGCACUCAUCGACAUAUACCGUAAUUUCCGGCUUAUAAACCGCGACUUUUUUCACACGGUUUCAACCCUGCGGCUUCUGCGGUGAUGCGGCUAAUUUGUGCAUUUUUUUUCUAACGGCUGCAAGGGGGCACUGGAGCUGAAAAAGUAAGAGUAUAUGUGGAAGUGGAGUAUAUGUAACGAGGAAGUGACUUUUACCGGUCCGGGCCUGUUAGCGCUGUGCUAGUGUGUGACUGCCAUGUCUCUGUGAUUUCUUUUUUUUUAACUGGCCCUGUUGGCGCCGCGCUAUCAUUAGCGCUGUGCUAAUGCGUUGCUGCUGUGUUACUGCCGUGUCUCAGUGAUUUUUACAGGUAUUUUUUUUAAUCGGCCCUGUUAGCGCUGUGCUAGCAUGUUGCUGCCGCGUCUCGGUGAUUUUUACCGGUAUGUUUUUUUUAACUGGCCCUGUUAGUGCUGCACUAGCGUUAGCACUGUGCUAGUGUCUUGCUGCUGCGUUAACACCGUGUCUCAAUGAUUUUUAGCGGCAUGUUUUUUUUUACCGGCCCUGUUAGCGCUGUGCUAGAGUGUUGCUGCCGCAUCUCAGUGAUUUUUACCGGUAUGUUUUUUUUAACCGACCCUGUUAGCGUUGCGCUAGCAUUAGCGCUGUGCUAGUGUGUUCCUUUUUUUUUUUUUUU